AAGGUCUUCAUCUGUGAACAACACCACACUGGGUGUUUAGAAAGGAACCAGAUGGGAUUUGGUGGCAGGUCAUCAGAAUUGCUGCAGUCAUGUUGAAGGCUGGAGAAUGCCGAGGGACAAGAGCUGAAUGCCACAAAGAACAUGGAGAGGAUGCAGGACAAAGAGAUUGGGACAGCUGGUGGCAACAGAUGGACUGCCAACAGUGCUAUGGUUCAGAAUCUAGGGCAGGAAGCCUUUCCAAAUGAAGUGACACUCUCCAGAUUAAGACUCCGAGUUCUUCCUCCUGAAGUCCUACAAAACAGCAGUAUAGAGAGCCUGAAUUUGGACCGGAACAAGCUGAAACAUAUCACUGGGAUUUCGAACCUUUGCAACCUGAAAAAACUGAUUUUGUCUAAAAAUACUAUGACACACUUUCCAAUGGAAAUCCGGAACUUGAUCCAUCUGGAGAAGCUUGAACUCAAUCAGAACCAAAUCCGAGAUAUCCCAGAGGGGAUCUUCACUUUUCUCCCUAAGUUAAAACAUCUCCGACUUAACAACAACCGCUUAGACAGCCUUCCCAAUGAUUUAAGUGCCUGUCGUGACUAUCUCCAGUAUCUGAACUUGUCCACAAACUUAUUCCAAGUCAUUCCUCAAGUAGUAUUGGAGUUGAAAAACUUGCAAGAAUUCUAUGUGCAAAAUAAUGUUUUGCAGCAGCUUCCCAUAGAAAUGUUCCAAAAGCUGCCCCUGAAGUUGUUCAAGGUAAAUGGGAACUCACUGAGGGAGCCCCCAGAUGAAGUAUGUGCAGGGGGUAUCAAACAGAUUAUCAGCUACUUCCAUCAGCUGCAGAAUGGCCAAGCAGAGGAGGACAAGCGGGUCAAGACCAUGUUUUUGGGGACAUCCUUAGCAGGAAAGUCUACAAUCUGCAAAAGCUUAAAGCAGGGACAAGUUGUUCAAGUGUCAGAGGAAGAGCGGACAGUUGGAAUUGAGAUAAGUGAGUUCCAUAUCCAAGGCUUUACCUUUCUCUUUUGGGAUUUUGCUGGCCAGCUGGAAUACUAUGUGACCCACCAUAUGUUCAUUACCUCACAGGCCCUUGUCAUCUUGGUCAUUAACUUUCACCGGUAUCAGCUUACCGAUAACUCCUUCAAGGAUCUUGUUGGAUUUUGGAUUAGCAACCUGUUUAUGCGAGUGCCAAACUCCAUAGUCCUUCCUGUUGGAACUCACACAGAUGCUUGUUCUGAGGAGGAGGUUAAAGAAAAGAAAAAGGAUAUCAUGUGCAAGAUACAGGCCAUGCUGAAGGAGAGACAGAUUAACCUAGCUCACCUUAUUAGUAACCUGGAAGACAAUGAGGAAUCUGAGUUCUUUGAGGACCAGUGGACUCGACUGAAAGAAAUGGAAAAUUGCACCCUUACAAUUCUAGAUCUUGUUCCUGUCAACUGCAUGGAUUACCUGGACAUUAAAAAACUUGAACAAACAAUCUUGGAGCAUGUCAAGAAUGAAGAGCUAUUCCCUAAUGUCAUCCAAGUGCUUCCCCCUAUCUAUAAACAAGUAGAGGCAGCAAUUGUGGAUAUGAUGCAAAACAAUGAAGAGAUGACUGAACAUGGCAAGGAUGGUGAAUUUCGAUCUUCUACACAGCAAGCUCUCCUCCCAGUAUCACUUGGUCCACUUGGACAGAGAACUCCUGCAGGAUAUUUUGAGAUACCUGCAUCGCAUUGGAUUAAUUGUAUGGUAUGAAAAGAUCAAGCAGCUGGAAGGCACAGUGUUCUUACGUCCAACUAUUCUGAUCACUCUCUUUAAAAGCCUUGUGAGGUAUGGCCUAAUGCAACAGCUGGAGAGCAUUUCUGUGGACAUCUUGAUAGGAGAACAUGCCACCAUCCGAGACCGGGCCAACUGGGCAUUGACAUUU